UUUUGGGCACUCGGUCUCUAAAAGGUUCGCCAUCACUGCUCUGGUGCCUUCAGCACUUGCACAGCUUAACCACCCCAUUUUUCUGAGGGCAAAAGGUUUGUAUAUUUUUGCUCCCACCCACUUGGGAAGCACAAAAAAAGGAGGCUGGCAAAUCAGACCUGGCCCACUACAACAUAUGAAGCAAGUCAUUAUAUUCCUGUGCUGCUUCUGUUAGUUUACAAAUUUGUUCCUUUUUCCAUAGCAAGGAUCAGAGUGGCUCACAGCCAAAUAAUCCUCUUCAGUGUUUUCAAGAGAAGAGGGAAGGUGCUUAGAAAAUCCAGCUGUAUUCCAUGUUGGGCUUAUCUGAUACAGAAGAUACCCUGAGAAUGUAAUGGGAAGUAUUUCAGAAGAACAUGAUACAUAGCUAACAACUGGGAGAAAUUGUUUAGAAAGAGAGGCAACUUCUGUUCAGCAUGGGCUGCAAUGCAAAGAAGCCACAUGGUGGUAGCUACUUGUGAUUCCUUUUGUCCAAGGUGUUGGAGAAGGCUCUUCCUUUCAAGUUAAUCUUGAGGAAAAAGGAUCUGCCACAGCACUUAUGGAAAAAGCAAAGGGAGUCUGACUCUGGAUUAUGGGAAUUGCAACUGGAGUCCUCCGGAGACCCUGGGCAGAGAGUUGAGCCCUGCCUCUGAAGGGUGCCUGGAGGCUGCCUCCAAGCCUCCCUCUCUCUCAUCCCACCCACGUGAGCUGCCACGAUGUUCUGACCGAAGAAAGAAGAAAGCGCGUCAAGGAGAAUGGCUGCUGAGUAACAUUGCUCUGACAUAUGGGGAGAGAAAGGUCAGCCAAGGUGAAGGCUGACGGCUACAGCCUCCCUUCCAAUGCCUGAGAAGUCUGCCCUGGAAGAAGGCGUCUGCAGAGAUUCAGCUCUUUUUUCGCAAACCGCAGAUUCUCCCACUCUUCGCCAAAGAGGAGAGGGAGAGACGCAGGGGCUGGAAAUACAGGUAGUCCUCAACUUACAACAGUUGUAUUUAGUGACCGUUCAACGUUACAACCGCACUGAAAAAAGUGACUGAUGCC